UACGUAGGGGGCAAGCGUUGGUCCGGAAUCAUUGGGCGUAAAGCGCGUGUAGGCGGCUGAGUAAGUCUGCUCUGAAAGCCCGGGGCUCAACCCCGGGAGGCGGGUGGAUACUGCUCAGCUCGAGUCCGGAAGAGGAGUGUGGAAUUCCUGGUGUAGCGGUGAAAUGCGCAGAUACUCGAGGAAGACACCAAUGGCGAAGGCAGCACUCUGGGACGGUACUGACGCUGAGACGCGAAAGCGUGGGGGAGCAAACAGG
rnacentral:rRNA from 1 species